CUUAUUCUAAGCGCAAAAAUAAGAUCUUCAAAACAAAACAAAAAUUAUUAUCAUUCUCUUUCCUAAAACCGCAUCUAAAAAUUUUUAAAUCGCAACAUCGCAAGCAAAAGUGGUCAACUUGCGAAAUGUCAUCCUGUCAAAUGGCUUUGUAUUUAUAUUCGACAUUUGUGAAGUUUUGUGUUUUUUCUUUAGUUUUCGGUUGAAAAAGGAUGCAUUUGAGUGUUUUUGUGAACUAUUACGAUGCUGUGUCUUGUGAAAAAAUGUAUGAAAAAGUGAUUCAAGCCGCUCUUUUUACAAAGGACGUCACUGGUAAAGGCUCCUUGCAUGGGUGGAAUCAAAUGAGGCGUUGCCGAUAGUAAGGGCGAACUCAACAAAAGCAAGUUUCGAGAAAAUUGCGUUUAAAAAAAAUUACAAAAGGCGAAUUCAACAAAAAGUGGGCAACAUUAUGAUUUUGUACUUUUUUCUUUUUUAAUUCAAUCACAUAACUUUUUUUAUUUUUAA